AACUCAAAGGCCGGUGCCAGUGCAGG
rnacentral:piRNA from 1 species